rnacentral:lncRNA from 1 species
GGACGAAGCCAGAGGAAACUGGUGGAAGUUCGAAGCGCCUCUGACGUGCAAAUCGAUCGUCGGAACCGGGUGUAGGGGCGAAAGACCAAUCGAGCCGUCUAGUAGCUGCUUCCCUCCGAAGUUUACCUCAGGAUUACCGGCGCCAGCGGGAGAACGACACGCAAUUCCGUCCGGUAAAGCGAACGACUGGAGGCCCCGGGGACGUUGACGGCCUCGAUCUACUCUUGAACUCGAAACGGGCCGCUCCUCUCCUGAUCGGAGGCAGCCAUUGCGAUGCGACGACUGCAUGGUGCCAAGUGGGCCACUUUUGGUAAGCAGAACUGGUGAUGUGGGAUGAACCGAACGUCCGGCUAAGGUGCCCUAU